UAGGGAAUCUUUCACAAUGGGCGAAAGCCUGAUGGAGCAACGCCGCGUGCAGGAUGACGGCCUUCGGGUUGUAAACUGCUUUUAUAUCCGAGAAAUAUGAUGGUAAGAUAUGAAUAAGGACCGGCUAACUACGUGCCAGCAGCCGCGGUCAUACGUAGGGUCCAAGCAUUAUCCGGAUUGACUGGGUGUAAAGAGUUGCGUAGGUGGCAGGGUAAGUAGAUAGUGAAAUCUGGUGGCUCAACCAUUCAGGCUAUUAUCUAAACUGCUCCGCUCGAGACUGUUAGGGGUGACUGGAAUUUCUAGUGUAGGAGUGAAAUCCGUAGAUAUUAGAAAGAACACCGAUAGCGUAGGCAGGUCACUGGGACAGUUCUGACACUAAGGCACGAAAGCGUGGGGAGCA
rnacentral:rRNA from 1 species